GCAUCCGCAGCUUAGCCAAUCUGUUGUUUUAAACGAGCAAUAAAAAUGAAUUAUGACUAAACGCCUUCUAACUUAAUGGUUUUAGACGGGGUUCCCCGGCUCCGGCAAAUACGUACGAGGAUUUUUAUUUGUGCAUGUGUUCCUGCCAUUGAUCUCUUUGAUGACAUUCUCAUUCAUAGAAAGAGUGUGAUUUAUGAGUUUAGGAAGAAUUGCAUCCAAC
ensembl:misc_RNA